rnacentral:rRNA from 1 species
UUCCCUACGGGACGCAGCAGUGGGGAAUAUUGCACAAUGGGGGGAACCCUGAUGCAGCGACGCCGCGUGGGCGAUGGAGUAUUUCGGUAUGUAAAGCUCUAUCGGCAGGGAAGAAAAUGACAGUACCUGACUAAGAAGCCCCGGCUAACUACGUGCCAGCAGCCGCGGUAAUACGUAGGGGGCAAGCGUUAUCCGGAUUCACUGGGCGUAAAGGGAGCGCAGGCGGCACGGCAAGCCUGGUGUGAACACCCGGGGCCCAACCCCGGGAGUGCAUUGGGAACUGCCGAGCUAGAGGGCCGGAGGGG